rnacentral:rRNA from 1 species
AUGGACCAUUCCAUCCGUUUUUCCCGUGCAUAUGCAUCGGACUCGGUUGACGAUGGUCCCGACGAACAAGUUGAUGCAGAGGGGUUCACGGUGAAGGAGGCCAAAGCUUUCGAGAAGUUAUUCGGUCGGGAUCAUCGGACUACAUUGUUCAAGGAUGUUAGUCUCGCGGAUGAAGCCGUGGUAGAUGGUGGCCAAUGUAUAUCUUUUAGGGUUAGGCCAAGCUCUCAC